GUUAAUAUGUGCACAUUUUAUAUGUUAAAUGAUUAUGAAGCUUGUCAGUCAGACUCGAUAACUUGGUGGUGUUUAAACAGGCUUAGACAAUGUAGUAACAUCUUGAAAUUUCAACAGGCUAAAGCUUACAACAUAGUGAAUACGUUACAUUAAGCAGUGGGUGAGUAUAUAUAUCUGCAUUUAGAUAAUUUUUGGCAGCUCUCUUUCAGUUUGAUAGAUAAUAGAUGGAAGGUAGCAAAGUUGUAGUUAUGCAACUACGUCUGUCAUAUUGCCUUACUUUAUCUGAUGAUAACAGUGGCUUAAUAUUUACGUAGCGUGUCAUCGCUAUACUAUCUAGACCUCGUCUUGGUUAUGCUGAAUAGUGUAUAAGUGAGAGGCAUAUCUUUAAUGUAGCAACUGCUGGAUCGAGUAGUCAUGACCCGUAGUAGGUAACACAGAAGGAUUGUGUUGCAGAUUAUGCUAGGGUGAGCAAUGCUGACUACCGGGG